GUGUCUGCACUUCAUCCUGGUCCUCCACCGUGGGCCAACAAAGACCCUUCAUCAGAUCAUGGCGGGGAGGAGGAUAAAAGCCCUUCUCCUACUGUAACUUCACAAUGCACAGAGAUUUGUGGAGACAGUCCUAUACCCAAAUCAUGCUCUAAGAUAUGCUUGAUAGGAGUAUAUCAUGAGGAUCAUCCAGAAAUUAUGGUCAAGAUGUACGCAGUGCUCGAUGAGCAAAGUAAUAGAUCUCUAGCUAGACCUGAGUUUUUUGAUCUAUUCAAAGUAAAAGGAACAGAGCAUCCAUACACUCUUCGAACUUGUGCUGGGUUAACAGAAACUUCAGGAAGAAGAGCCACUGGGUUUCAAGCUGUAUCUAUGGAUGGAAAGACACACGUGUCACUUCCAACACUCAUCGAGUGUAAUUAUAUGCCUGACGACCAUUCUGAGAUCCCAUCUCCCACCAUUGCACGCCAGUUCCCUCACUUGAUAUCUAUUGCUCACGAAAUACCAGAGAUAGAUCCAUGUGCUAAGAUACUGCUUCUCUUAGGGAGAGACAUCAUCCAAGUCCACAAAGUGAGGAAACAGCUCAAUGGUUUGAAUAAUUCACCGUACGCCCAAAAACUCGACUUUGGCUGGGUGAUAGUGGGAAAUGUCUGCUUGGGGUCAGCACAUAAACCUAGCACAGUUGACGUGUUCCGCACAAACAUACUUCUCAAUGGACGCCCAAGCAUAUGUGAGCCAUGUCCUAAUCAGAUACAGGUGAAAGAGAAGCUAAGCAGUAAAAAUCAUCCCAUCUCUUUACAUGGCUGUCGCUUUUACCCAUCCACCUGCCCUGAGUACUUGCUGGGUAACACUAUUUUCGAACGGACUCAAGAUGAUGAAAAGAUAGCCCCUUCCAUUGAAGAUCGUGCAUUCUUGAAACUGAUGGACAAGGAAAUGUUCAUUGACAGCUCUAACAGCUGGGUGGCACCUCUUCCUUUCCGUAUUCCACGCCAACAGCUACCCAACAAUAGGGACCUGAGUAGGAAACGUCUCUUGUCACUUCAACAGACACUAAGGAAGAAGCCUCAAAUGCAGGAACAUUUCAUCACAUUCAUGCAAAGGAUUUUCGAUGCAGGUCAUGCAGAAUUAGCUCCACCUGUGAUGAAAAAUGAGGAAGUGUGGUACCUGCCUAUAUUUGGUGUCUAUCACCCUCGCAAGCCAGGACAGAUCAGAGUUGUUUUUGACUCUAGUGCUCAGUACAAAGGCCUUUCUUUGAAUCAAGUGCUUCUCUCAGGACCUGACCUGAAUAACUCCUUGCUGGGUGUUUUGCUG
ensembl:lncRNA